CGGGACGAGUGAGUAAUGCUUGGGAAUCUGGCUUAUGGAGGGGGGUAACUACGGGAAACUGUAGCUAAUACCGCAUAAUAUCGAAAGAUUAAAGGGUGGGACUUUCGGGCCACCUGCCAUGAGAUGAGCCCAAGUGGGAUUAGGUAGUUGGUUAGGUAAAGGCUGACCAAGCCGACGAUCUCUAGCUGGUCUGAGAGGAUGACCAGCCACACUGGAACUGAGACACGGUCCAG
rnacentral:rRNA from 1 species